rnacentral:rRNA from 1 species
CUCGCUUUCUGUCAGUGGUCUGGUGGCUCUCAGUUCUGGCAAUCCAUCAUACAACACCUCCCAGUCCUCCGCAUUGGGACCUCGAUUGUGGUUGGAUCUGGCACCGCCACACCGUUUUGGUUCGAUCGCUGGGCUGAGGACGCCCCCUUCACCGCUCGGUUUCCUGACGUGUUCACCAUCGCGGUCGACCCACGGAUUUCUGUUGCGGUGGCCCUUAUUGACUUAGAGCAGCUCGUGUUCCGAAGACCUUUUGGGCCGGCUGAGACUGCUGCUUGGCAUGACUUGCUCGGCUGCAUACCGCUGCAUGAGCCUGAGCUAGAUGUGGGUGAUGAUCGCACCAGGUGGUGUCUAGAGCCUUCUGGUAUAUUCUCCACUAAAUCAAUCUACCAUGCUAUCGCCCCCUCUCCAGGUCCCGAGGCUCUUUCCACCAUCUGGGAGAUCCGGCUACCCUUGAAAAUAAGGAUUUUCUUGUGGCAAUGGAUCCGCGGCCGCCUACCGUCCGGCGCGGAGGUCCUGAAACACAACGGCCCUGGCGAUGGGCAUUGCCCGCUCUGCGGGCCUGAGGAGGAUUCGAACCAUAUCUUCUUCACCUGCGUGUCCGCGCAGUUCCUCUAG